AUUUUUAUACAGCAAAUGUCUGAUUUGUGUUCCCAGAUCUUCUUUCUCUAUUGGCAAACCACUGAACUGUUCUUCUUGCAAUUGGCAGCCAAAGCAGCCGCUGUGUUUCCUCAUUUCUAUUGUUUCCACCUGAAAGAGACUCUCUAAUUGUAUUCUUGAUACUCAAAUUUCUAAAUCUUGAAAGAGCAGUGAUUUCAGAUACUGAUCUUCUGCCAGCUGAAUUCAUAAGACUUGAUGUGUUGUGACUAGUAAUCGCAUUUGAAUCUGAUGUAGAAGGAUGACCUGGAAAUGAAUCUGGAGGGUAAUUGUUAAUUGAUCUAAACUUGCUUUCAAACAAUCUCUUCAUCUCCAUUUCUUCCUUGAUUUUCAUUAUUUGCUUGCCUUCCAUGGUUCUAGUAGUUGUGAAUUGCUCUUUGUUUGAAUCCAAAGAAGAGAAUCUGUUGCUUGACGUUUCUUGAAGCAUCUCUGAGCUCAAGAACAUCAAGUCAGAAGAACUCACACUGCUCCAUCUAUUCUUGAGAACAACAUCAGAUAUGAUAAUCUUGUGAUUGAACUUAUGCAAGAUAUUUUGAUCAUUAUCACCAGAUGCAUCAGCUUCUUCAUCUUGAAUUAAUGCUUCUUCAUCCUUGUUAACCUUUUCAACCUUCCGGAAGCUGCUUCCAAUGCUAAAUCUUGAAGAUCCUUGAUGGUUUUCCUCUCUCUGGACAUAUAGCUCUACACUUGGGUUCUCUUGAAGCUCAGAUUGAUUCCCCAGUAAGAAUCGCAUACUAUUUGAAUAUGUGAAGAUUGUUGGGUCCUCAGCACUGACCUUGCACCUGCAAAGAGGGCAACUUGAAUGUUUUUCAAGCCACUGAUCAACACAGUUAAUGUGAAAGGCAUGUUUGCAUUUAGGCAGCAAACGAAGAACUUCGACAUCUUCGAAUUUCGACAGGCAGACUGCACAUUCAAGUCCAUCUUUAGAUCCUUUCAAAGAAGAAAAUCUGAAGAAAGGAAGUGACUCUAUUACCGUCUUAUCAAUUCCAGAGUAUCGUGAUGUUGAUCGAAUUAGUACAGGAAGACUCUGUGAAUCACGGCGAACAGAAG
rnacentral:misc_RNA from 1 species